ensembl:snRNA U6 U6 spliceosomal RNA
GUGCUCGCUUUGGCAGCACAUGUACUAAAAUGGGAACAAUACAGAGAAGAUCGUCAUGGCCCUGCACAGGGGUGACAUGCAAAUUCGUGAAACGUUCCCUAUUUUU